UACGGAGGGUGCGAGCGUUGUCCGGAAUUACUGGGCGUAAAGGGCGCGUAGGCGGUCCGAUAAGUCCCGUGUGAAAUCCCUCGGCUCAACUGAGGAAUGGCACGGGAAACUGACGGGCUUGAGUUCGGGAGAGGGAAGCGGAAUUCCGGGUGUAGCGGUGAAAUGCGUAGAUAUCCGGAGGAACACCGGUGGCGAAGGCGGCUUCCUGGACCGACACUGACGCUGAGGCGCGAAAGCUAGGGGAGCAAACGGG
rnacentral:rRNA from 1 species